AUCAGUAAAGGCUGGGAAACAUUGUGGUUGAAUUAAAAAUUAAAAUUUAGAUCUUGUAUAAGAAGGAUGAGUUCUAACAGUGACUUUUAUACUUUUUCUUCUGGCAGCUCUAGCUUCUUGUCUUUGACCUUUGUGCUUUAAUUUACGUGCUUGUUAGGAAUAAAGUUACUUAUUGCUAUUCUUGCCAGCUUUAUGCCAGGGCCUGGGCCAGCUGUUGUUUAAACAUUAUCUCUAAUGCCUGACAGCACAAUGUGUGGUAAGUAUUGUCAUCUUUAUUUUGCAGAGCUAGGAUAGAAGCCAAAUCUCACCAAGUCCCUUAUUUUUCCAUUAUACUAUGGUACACACUGUGUAUGGUAAGGCUGUCAUAGAAUGUCUUUAACUAGAUGGCACUGAGGUUUAAAAUAAUAUGUUUCAACAAGUUGGUACUGAAUAAUGCUUAAGACCACCAUAAAAAUUGUUAAAGAGUAACUGUCUUAAUAUAUAUGAUUCUCUAAUCUAGCUUUUAUCUUUUUUGAAGCUUGCAUCUAACAAAACCUGCUUUACCCCUUUCUUGUUUUGUUUGAUACUAGAAACAAAAUUUAUGGAAUGAAUUUUGGGUAUCCAAAAAUAUUUGUCCUACUUCUUUAGAAAAGUGUAAGUUUCAAUCCAAUGGAGUAAUCUAAUAUGUGAACCUGUUAUCAAAACCCGGUGUAAGUGACAUGUUUCAAGUGUUUUAAUAAACUCAAAAGUUUAAAGAAAAAUAAAUUUCUCCCCAAUGUAUAGUGAAUAACAAGCUAUGUUUUGUUUUCUUCAACCUGAGUUGAGAAUACGCCACAUAAUGAUAGAUCUAGUCCCUUCACAUAUAUUUGAACACACAUAGUUCAAGACCCAAGUGGAUUCUAUCAGUUUUCAAAUUAAGGCAAAAAUUUAUGUCUCCAAAUUCAGGACUGUUCAAAGGCAGUCUUAGCCAAGAGACACCUCUGUUAUUUUUUCCA
rnacentral:lncRNA from 1 species